rnacentral:lncRNA from 1 species
AUUCCCAAUUUCUUUCGUUCAUUCUCCUUCCAUCUCGCAAGGUUCAGCAAUCCAAUAGGUGGAAGCCUUGUUCAUGACAGAUCAGCAAUGAGGCUGAGUUAAUCGGCGUUCGUGCCCAGCCAUAGAGCACGAAAACUUUGAUGUACCCAAUGCUAAGCUGAUGGAAGCAUCAAUUUGAUCAAAGCAGACUGACUGAAGGACAACAUGUUGACCCGUGCUCAAACUCACUCAUGCCACGUCAGCCCUUUGGUAAACAAAUUCGAUGAAAAUUGACGAGCCCAAGUUUUGUACUCUUUUUCUUUGUUGUGUCAUGGUCUAGAUCGAGUCCUUUGUAUGUGUUUUAUUUGUUUUAUGUCUUGAAGGACACUUGUAUGGACAGGGACUCGUAGAAGCUAUAAUGGGCAGGAUGGAGCAAUUCUAAUGAGAUCUGGGAAGGCGCCUCAACGAUCAAGUCUAACCAAGCUUGCAGGUUGGAUGCAAUUCAAAGAUCGAGAGUCACAUAUGCUGACCUGCUGGGCACGAUGUUGAUCAAGAAGGUAGUACCACUCAGAAAAAGAGUUCUAUUGGUCCUAGGCAUUUUGGAGCUAAUUUUUGGGAGAACGAGUUGAUGCAAAGGCUAUUGCCGUCGACCAAGAUGUCGGCCUGACUACCGCUCAUAAUUAAACAUCCACCACAAGAGGUACUGAGGGCACGAGAAGGACAGAAUGAAGGAAAUGAACGUGAACAGUGAAGGAACCAUCAUGACCAAACAUCUAGGGUAGGACACUGACGUGGCAAAUUCGGUGCAAGAGGAUAAGGCG